rnacentral:rRNA from 1 species
UCCCAGACUCCUACGGGAGGCAGCAGUUAGGAAUAUUCGUCAAUGGGGGAAACCCUGAACGAGCAAUGCCGCGUGAAGGAUGACGGUCCUAUGGAUUGUAAACUUCUGCUGUUAGGGAAGAACGACCUAAGUAGGAAAUGACUUAGGAGUGACGGUACCUUUCAAGAAAGCUCCGGCUAACUACGUGCCAGCAGCCGCGGUAAUACGUAGGUGGCAAGCGUUAUCCGGAUUUAUUGGGGGUAAAGGGCGUGUAGGCGGGGACGCAAGUCAGAUGUGAAAACUCAGGGCUCAACCCCGAGCCUGCAUUUGAAACUGUGUUUCUUGAGUGCUGGAGAGGCAAUCGGAAUUCCGUGUGUAGCGGUGAAAUGCGUAGAUAUACGGAGGA